CCCUUAGAUGUUCGGGGCCGCACGCGCGCUACACUGAAUGAAUCAGCGAGUGUAUGUCCUAGGCCGAAAGGUCCGGGUAACCCGUUGAACCUCAUUCGUGAUUGGGAUAGGGACUUGCAAUUGUUUCCCUUGAACGAGGAAUUCCCAGUAAGCGCAAGUCAUCAGCUUGCGUUGAUUACGUCCCUGCCCUUUGUACACACCGCCCGUCGCACCUACCGAUUGAAUGGUCCGGUGAGGACUCGGGAUUGUGGUUUAGCUCCUUCAUUGGGGCCUGACUGCGAGAACUUGUCCGAACCUUAUCAUUUAGAGGAAGGUGAAGUCGUAACA
rnacentral:rRNA from 1 species